rnacentral:misc_RNA from 1 species
UUUCACGAUAAUUUUCAAAUUAAGGAAAUAUGAGUACUCUAAUCUCGCAACAAGCUUUUCUGUUAUAUAAAUUAUGUAAUGAUUUUAUAAGUUACAAUUGCUUUUACACGAUUUAUUUCCCCUAUUUGUCAGUUUUUGGUCUUCGUCGAGUGAGAUAUUUGUAUCUUAUCUUCUUCUGCCUUAGUCCUUCUCCCCUUUCGGGUUUUUUGGGGCGGACGUUACAGAAACGCCUUCGGUGUCUGUCGACAGUGCGCUGUGCUAUCUGCGAUGGUCUUCUCUACUGUUUUUGGUUUGCGCUUCGUUGCCUCCGUUCUUCUCGAGGUCGCUUCUAUUAUGUCCCAUCGCCGCGCGAAAUCCCGUAGUCGACCAAAGGAUGCCGCCGAAGCUUCAAGAUCAUGAUAGUAGACCAGUCCCACCUCUUGGACUUUGAUGCCGUCCAGCAAUUUUGUACGCUCAUCCUUGUACAGAGGACAUUCCUAGAGUGUGUGGUGUACGUCUUCCUCAGCGGCAUCGCCGCAGUAGCAUGACCCCACAGCGGUCAAUUUCAUUCUGUGAAGCCUCCCCCUGAAACACCCAUGACCUGUCAAGAUAUGGGGAAUCAGUCUUGAUCCAAGUCGCCUUGAAGCGAAUCUUCAUCUUGGGAAAAACCGGUAUAACUCCCACGGAUCAUGACCCUCCACUAUAUCCCAUGGAUCGACAUGUCCCAACGCUCCUGCCAUGCGGCAAGAGCGGACUCAGCCUCUCUGAGUUUGGCACUCCGUAGCUUCUUCUUCCUGCAGUUACCAACUGCGGACUCGCGCAGAGCACCCAGCCUGCUUGUGCUGAUCACCUCGAAGUCGGCUGGCAGCACACAGGCCCACUCCGUCAGUGCGGGUCGUGCGACACGCCUUGGUUAGAAUAAUUGAAUGAGAAUGAUUACGGAGUAAGAAUGCCUCAAUGUUGUUUUUAAACUAAGCAGCUAGUACUUAUGCUACGAAAAAUGUUGAAAUAAUUAUAUUAAUGGACCUAAAAAACACUAGUUAGUGAUUUUGUAGUUCCAAGUCGCGGAUAUAUAAUGUUGGAUCAAUAAAAAAGCGUUUGUAACAAACACCUUUGUAGCUCCAAAAUUUUUGUAAUUUAUAAAAAAUAACUGAGGUAUUAAAAAUAGAUACGUUUUUAUCGCUCCAAUAAGUGAGAAUAAAAAUGGUCAUAAAUUCCGUUGUGUGGCUGUAGCUCCAACGUACGUCAAACACUCGCGGACGAGGGCACUACUGUCCAAUGAGACGUUGUCGGCCCAAAACCCAUAGAAGAACCGCCAAUAACCACAAAGCCCCCUCAUCUAGUAAAAUUUUGAGAUACUUUCGUGGAUGUUAUUGUUGCCCCAAGUAUAGGCAUGAUUCAGAGACAAUUUGGCAUAGGUACUUCCUCAAUUUUACAGUUUGGCUAUUUUUGACUUUGUUGCACCGAAGGUGCAAUAUAAUAAGUUAGGUUAAGAUCGUUUAC